CACAUACUCUGAAACCUU
rnacentral:tRNA from 1 species